rnacentral:rRNA from 1 species
UUGGCGGCGAGCGGCGGACGGCUGAGUAACGCGUGGGAACAUACCCCAAAGUGAGGGAUAACUGCCCGAAAGGGUAGCUAAUACCGCAUAUGAUCUUCGGAUUAAAGGAUUUAUCCGCUUUGGGAGUGGCCCGCGUCGGAUUAGGUAGUUGGUGAGGUAAUGGCUCACCAAGCCGACGAUCCGUAGCUGGUCUGAGAGGAUGAUCAGCCAGACUGGGACUGAGACACGGCCCAGACUCC